GACGAACGCUGGCGGCGUGCUUAACACAUGCAAGUCGAACGGAAAGGCCCUGCUUUUGUGGGGUGCUCGAGUGGCGAACGGGUGAGGAACACGUGAGUAACCUGCCCUUGACUUUGGGAUAACUUCAGGAAACUGGGGCUAAUACCGGAUAGGAUCUCCUGCUGCAUGGUGGGGGUUGGAAAGUUUCGGCGGUUGGGGAUGGACUCGCGGCUUAUCAGCUUGUUGGUGGGGUAGUGCUUACCAAGGCUUUGACGGGUAGCCGGCCUGAGAGGGUGGACGGCCACAAUGGGACUGAGAUACGGCCCAGACUCCUACGGGAGGCAGCAGUGGGAAAUAUUGCCCAAUGGGAGGAAGCCUGAUGCAGCAACGCCGCGUGCGGGAUGACGGCCUUCGGGUUGUAAACCGCUUUCGCCUGUGACGAAGCGUGAGUGACGGUAAUGAGUAAAGAAGCACCGGCUAACUACGUG
rnacentral:rRNA from 1 species